UACAGAGGGGGCAAGCGUUGUUCGGAAUUACUGGGCGUAAAGGGCGCGUAGGCGGCCUGCUAAGUCGAACGUGAAAUCCCCGGGCUCAACCCGGGAACUGCGUCCGAUACUGGCAGGCUUGAAUCCGGGAGAGGGAUGUGGAAUUCCAGGUGUAGCGGUGAAAUGCGUAGAUAUCUGGAGGAAUACCGGUGGCGAAGGCGGCAUCCUGGACCGACAUUGACGCUGAUGAGCGAAAGCUAGGGGAGCAAACGGG
rnacentral:rRNA from 1 species